UGCUAUUUGAGUAAAGACCCAGAAGACAUACAGGAAUGUACAUCUAGGGAGUACCAACGUCUAGGGAGGGCAUUCCUGGUAAAGAAGAUGCAGAUGCAGGCCUCAUGUAUGGCUGGAGCAAAGCUGGGCCAGCAAAGGGGGGAGGGUGUGAGCUAAACAGCCCCAGGGCUACCACGAGAGGCAUAUCAGCUGAGCCCUUCUCCAUUUCUCACUCUCCAGGACUCCAGGACAAGACUUACAUGUCUCCCCUUUGCGGGUGGGGCUUUCUCAUUGGAAAUGCUGGAAGACGGGCCGCUGUUUCUGGUCACCUUCUCAUCCGUCGCCACAGUUGUCUCCACUGCAGUCUAACACAUUGGUCCCUUCCCCAGUUUCGGUGGUGGUGGUGCGGUCGGUGGUGGUCCACGAGCCGACGAUCCUCUUUCUGACGAAUCAUACGAAGGUCAAUAAGUAGUCUAACUCUACGCCGUCGCAAUGCCUACGUCAUUCACCGCGCUUCAUCUGGGUGUGUAGGGAUUUUCUUCUCUCAUGUCGCCGCUGCAAGGAGGUCAGGAUUGAAGACUCUUUAAAUGAAAAGUUUUCAAGAUUUAAACAAGGUGUCUCAAUUGUGGAAGCUUCAAGAAAAGAAGUGGUUUCUUUCUUUUAGCAGAAUCUGGACUCAAGACAAGGAUGAGAAGAAUAUCCAGAAGCUCCCCAACAUCUCACCUAUAGUACUAGGCAAGUCCUUUGGAUGGACUGGGGAGGUACUUUGUUGGUGAACCAUCCCAUCCCCAAUCCAAGCAUGUAACUAUAUCCCCUCUGUCCCCACCCCUCUUUCAGGAGAUUCCACCUCCCACACCUGAAGUAAAGAGAGGUAUUUGGACUUGGCCAUGGAAUCCCAAUCCAUACAAUUCUUGCAACAGGAAGGGCUUAGGUGGUCGUCAGGACAGUUUCAAAAUUAUGGUCAUUUGUUGCAAUUGAGCCCUCUAGAGUACCAA